AAAAAUUUAUAAUAAAAGGUAAAACUUUGGAAUUUUCAUUAAAAUGGCGCGAAAAAUAUUAGCAAUUAAUUUAGAUGGCCAUUACAGUCAGGCUAACCCAUUUUUUGCAAUGUCCUUAUAAAAGGUAUACUUUUAAUCGGUUUUGCACGAUGAAAGCUGCAUACUGGCGAGGUUAAAAACGCGACUUCCAGCUCCGAACAUUACGUACACUAGGUCCGAUGGAAUCUCGUUCAAUUAGUGCAAUUAACUAUUCGAGAGCGCGUAGGUGAGACUCGAGUGCCGUGUAAAAAUGCAAAAUUGGAUUAAGCGCCGGUGAAAGGACCAUUAGAGGGGAGAUAUUAAAAGUUAGCGACGGCUUUAGUUACUGCUAUCAGAAAGCACGAGUGUGAAAGGGGCUUGAAAAUGGUGGCGGACUCAAAGCCGUGAACAUCAUUCGUUCGAUAUUCGAUAAUAAUGAAAUACGUAAAAAUAAGGGGACAAGAUAAAGAGAUUUGUUCAUGAUUAAAAUAAUGAAAAUGUCAAGAGAUAAAAGAAAGUAUAAUAUCCUGUUGUCAUUUGAUUUCUGUGUGGCUUAUUAUUUAUAUAAAUGCACGUAAAAGCUUACAAGCUCUUGAGCAAGCAGUCAAAAAUACAAUUCUUUUUCAUGAAAAAUCCAGCAACGAUAUCGUCGAAAAAUUUGUUUUUGGAAUAAUUUAAUCUUUAGGAUUUUUUGAUUUCUACUUGAUUACUAUCAAUCUCCUUUAUAUACAUUGAUUAUAUAAAAUAAUUUUAAAAUAUGUUUUUAUAUAUACAUAUUUAAAUAUUGUUGAUUU